rnacentral:rRNA from 1 species
UACGUAGGGGGCAAGCGUUGUCCGGAUUUAUUGGGCGUAAAGGGCGCGUAGGCGGUUUCUUAAGUUUGAAGUGACAGUGGGUGGCUUAACUACCCAAGGCCUUUGAAAACUGGGGAACUUGAGGACCAGAGAGGGACAUAGAAUUCCGGGUGGAGUGGUGAAAUGCGUAGAUAUCCGGAGGAAUACCAAAGGCGAAAGCAGUGUCCUGGAGGGUUAACUGACGCUGAGGCGCGAAAGCUAGGGGAGCGAACAGG